rnacentral:rRNA from 1 species
CCUACGGGGGGCUGCAGUGGGGAAUUUUGCGCAAUGGGCGAAAGCCUGACGCAGCAACGCCGCGUGGGUGAUGAAGGUCUUCGGAUCGUAAAACCCUGUCGUUGGGGACGAAGGUGGGGGCGUUAAUAGCGUUUCUGCUUGACGGUACCCGGAGAGGAAGCCCCGGCUAACUCUGUGCCAGCAGCCGCGGUAAUACAGAGGGGGCUAGCGGUGCGCGGAGGGCGUGGGCGCAAAGGGUUAAGUGAGAUGUGUAAUCCCCGAGCUCAACUUGGGAACUGCAUCUGAGACUGGAAGGCUAGAGUACUGGAGAGGGUGGUGGAAUUCCUCGUGUAGCGGUGAAAUGCGUAGAGAUGAGGAGGAACACCAGUGGCGAAGGCGGCCACCUGGACAGUAACUGACGCUGAGGCGCGAAAGUGUGGGUAGCAAACAGGAUUAGAUACCCUAGUAGUC